ACCUGGCUGGCUCAGUAGAUGGAGCAUGUGACUCUUGAUCUUGGGGUUGUGAGUUCGAGCCCCAUGUUGGGUG
rnacentral:tRNA from 1 species